CCCGCCGGGCCUCAGCCUCUGGUGGGCGGUGGGUCUCUGGGCCCUGUUAGCCUGGGUGAGCGGGGUGGAGAAAGAGCAGUUUUUCUUACAAACUGUAGAGUUUGGUGCCCUCCGAGACCUUUCCUCCCUCCUCUCAGGGUCCGGAUGUGCUUGUACGCAGGGCCCUUACUCCGUCCUGAGAUGUUUGGGGGGCCGGCAGUCAUGGUGCCGGUUCCCUCCCGGGCGCUGGAGUCCAGGCAGCGAGAGGCUCCCAUCUGGGUUUGCUCCAGAGUCCGUCCUUCCAUGCUGAGGCUCCCAUCUGGGUUUGCUCCAGAGUCCGUCCUUCCAUGCUGAGGUGAUGGCUUCCACCUUCCAUCAGGGCUUCGCUUCUUAAGGGCAUUACGUUCCAUUCAGGGCCAACUCCCCUCACGGGCAGGCGGCCACGAGCCACAGGACCCGCGUCUGGUCUAGCGCUCUGCGUCACAUCAAGUUGAACCACCCUCGGCCCGCGUCGGGACCCCAAGGCGCCCGGGACACUCCAGGGUGUCAUCUCCGCUGCCUCAGGACAAAGGGCCACCACGUGGGCCAUACAGCUCCCUCCCUGCUGCUCAGAAGGUCAGAAGGCACGGUCCUGUAGUGCUUUAAACAUACACACCCCCAUCCCAGGAAAACAAUGGAAGGAUGUAAACCUAAGUGCUGCUGGCAGGCUUUGGUGAGUUUUCUUCCUCUAAUUUUGCAUAUUUAUAUUUUCUAAUUUUUUAUCCGUGUGUAUGCACUGCCUUCGUAUCGAGAAGCUGACCGUAUCUGAUUAGGAAGAAGGGUUUGGGUUGGCCAAAAAGUUCGUUCGGGUUGUCUGCACGAUGGGCAGAAAAACCCGAACGAACUUUUUGGCCAACGCCGGGGUCCGUGCUCUUUUCCACGAGCCACGCCCUCUCGGGGGUCAGCAGGCCACGUCUGACUCUCUGAGCUGCCAGCCCCAGUUCUCCUCGUGUCCCUUUAGGGACUUAGGUCAUUGAGCUCUCAGAGGCCAAGCCUCAGCCAACGCAACAGUGCCUGGAGGCCCCGAGGAGAGUCACUGGGGGCUCUGGGGAGGCCAGACACGGCACCCCGGGCACAGCCUCUCCUCCUGCCUGUGGACAUGGCUCCGGGCGGUCUCCUCCAGGGUCCCUUCUGACCUCUCCGCCCCCGCCAGGACACGGAUGCCCUGCCCCGGCCCCGUGCAGCCCCUGCUUCCAGUGACAGCGCCUCCAUGUGCGCUGUUCAGUCACUGGUCCUCCCUCCGACUUUAUUAACUAAGACGAGGCGGGGGAAGCGUGGGAGGGGGAGGGGAGAUGGAGGGAGAAGCGGGGGCAGGAGGAGGUGAGGAGGGUCUUUACUGCACGACGCUCCCGUUCCCGCCCUGGGGGUACAGCACAGAGCCACUCAGACACACCCCAGGAAAAGCUGGAAUCAACCAACUCCCCGCUCGAUGAGUUAUUAAUUACACAAGUGGUUCCACCCAGAGGAGAAUCGCGGGGCUGAGAGCCGCCCAGAAAGGGAGGCCCUGGGCCAGAGGUGCCCCCGGCACUGAUCUGAGCCCCGGGUCUCAGUCUGCGCAGCCUUGCCUGCUGGAAUGUCCAAGGAAAGGGAAAGGACUCCCCUUCAUUCCCUGCCUGGGAGGACAGCAGGCCACUGCUGGGCAGCGCUUCCCGGGAGCGUGAGGCCUGCCCGCCCGGCAGCUGACCGGGGCCCUUCCCCUGGACGCACAGCACACCAGGAGAGCAGCUGGCGGGCAGAGAGGUCACAGGGCCCUGGGCCAGAGGUGCCCCGGGCUGCCCUGGUGGAGGAAACUGCCCCUCCCAGGUGCGUCGCCCCAGAAGACACUCUUGAUUUGCUGCUGGCAGAGAGACAAGCAACACACAGGUCCUGCCAACUGGGAGGAGAAGAGGCCGAAUCCAAGUGACCAGGCAACACCGCCACAUGGAAAAGGAAGAGGACUCGGGUUCACCUAUUCUUUCACGUGGUGAACACUACAGGGGAGCUCUGGAGCCCAAAAUGGAGAGGAGAGGGAAUUAGCAGAGCGCGAUGGCACCCUGCUACUGGGCAGUGACCACGAGGCCAGGAUGCUGAGCCAGCAGUAGGCCUGUGUCGUCCCUGGUGGUGACAUUAUCCACAUCCAGGGGACGGCCACCACAGCCGAUGCUGGCCCACAGGACACUGUGAUACAUCCGACAGCAUGACCUCCCUAGGCUGCAGAUGGCACGAGGGAUCCGCUGACACAACCUACAUCACGGAGCCUCAUCAGGCUGGAAGGACAGAUCUCGUCCCCGGCAACUAGAAAAGGAUGGAUCUUCCCCGCUUAGGGCCUGUGGAGUAGAAGGGAUUUUCCUCUCUCUGUAGUAUUUCUGAUGUGUCUGAAAUGCAGGCGUUUCUGUGCAGAGCAUCAGGGUCCUAAGUGUACCUGGUCUCGUGGGAAGGAAUGCGCCCCCUAGUCAGCAAGGCACUUGGGAGGUGUUGUCAUUGCUGUCCGUCUGGGUGUCCUGGGACUCGGGAAGGAUUCGGAAAGGCGAGCAGUGUUUGGAGGUAAGAGAGAUGGGACUGGGCGGGCUGUGGCUCCUGGAGGCCUUCUCCACAGGUCACGGCACUCCUGCCAUCUCCCCUUCUCAUAGCUGUGAGGCUGAACUGGAGCAACAGUUGACGUCACAGCCCAGGCGAAUGCAGCGUGACGGGCCUGCGAGAAAAUCAGGGUGAAGCAGCCCCCACCAGGGAGGGCAACUUCUAGAAAACCACACUUAAUACCUGUUUAGAUACUAAGGUCUUGGUUGAAAAUCAAGCCGCUCGAGAGACUUACAGAAAACAUGACAAUGUGGAAUCAUGGCUAAUUAGGGACAAGGCCUCCUGAGUUUGAAUUCUGGCUCUAGUACUUACCAACUGUGUGACCUUGGGCCAACUAGCUACCUUGUAUGGCUUCAGCUUGCUCAGCUGUAAGGUUGUGAGGACAGAAUUCCUUGUGCCCUAGGCUUGCUGUGAGAAUUAAUAAGCACUUAGAACAUCGCACAGCUCAUCGUAAAUACGCAGUAAGGAUCAGUUAUUUAAAAAAAAAUUCCUGUCCCCCAGAAAAGCUGGUUAGAUCAUGAUGAGCCAACAAAGGGACACAGAGGCCCCUUUCCUUCAUAACUGCCGCUGGAGGCCUGGCCUGGCUUUCUGGCCAGCCAAGCCGCCAGGUGGGCAUAAUGUGAGCUUUGCUCUGCUUUCGUUCUGUAGCAAAGCUUACUACUAAAUGUGAAAAUUCAGAGACCAUGUUGCCAAAAAGAAAUCGCAUGAUUCCCUGAAAUGGCAACCAUUUCAGGUAGUAAAUAGUAAGUUCCUACUUACUAAUUUGGGGUGUUUAGGGAAUUCCCUCAGAGGCCCAGUGCCCUGUUUUCCUCGAAUUGCCUCCUAUUAUAGCUCUUUGUGCGUCACAUAAAUCAUUAGCAUCACACAGUCCAAGACUCUCUGACUCACAAGAAUGCCUCUUGGUUUCCCUAGGAAUCAGAGAGGAACAGAAAGUCAUUUUUUCAUCCCAAAUUCUUUCCUUUCUUGAGCUCCUUCCCAUAGCUCAGGUACUGUGUUGGGUGCAGGUAACCUAGACACAGGCGCAGGUCGUCACCUCCAGGCUCUCGCAGGCUGACGGGAGGGUCAGGCAAGAGAACUCGCGUGUGUCUGUCUGGAGUUUGCAGGCACCGGGCCUGAUGGAAAGGGAGAGUGGGCACCUGGGGAGCCUGCACCCAAGACAGAGGGGAGGCGGAUCCUGAGGGUGAGAGAGGCAAGGAGGGUCUUCCAGGAGAAGAGUGUGUGCAAAGGUCCAGGCCAAGGGAGCAUCUCGAGUUCAAGACCAUGAGAGAUUCCAUGAGGCUGAAAGCAGCUUCACAUGGAGAGUGGGGAGAGCUGAAGGGCAGAGUUGCACAGGGGCACAGGCUGGUCACGAGGGGCUUCACUGGACCUCACUUUAGGCCCAGGGGCCAUGGCGGGCCACUGCAAGAUAUUUGGGUUGAGAGAAAGGCACACUGGGUUUGCAUCAGAAGUGCCUCUCUGACAGCCACGUCAGAAUAGCUGGCAAGGCAGCCAGUCGGGCCUGGGCUGGGGUUUGAGGCCACGGUGACGCUGAAGCAAAGGUGGGAGAGCUGAGAGGGUCGGGGGGCAGGCCACCCUUAGGACGGAUGUCCGGGGUUCUCGGGGCAGACGUGGCACUGGCUGUGGCCGCGGGUGCCUUCCCCCCCGGGAAGAGCCUCUCUCCCACUGGGCUUGCCUCUGACCGGAUCUGAAGCCCAUUGGGCCCAAGUCCUAAUUCUCAAGCUGCUCCUGCUUCGGGGUCCUUGUAGCGACCCGUGACCGUCCCUCAGCCUAGGGCAUUCAGCCCUCGGGCUCCACCAGACUCUUGCCGGCAGUUCAGGGCUCUGGGCAAAGGCCGUGCCCACCCCAAACCUAAACCAAGUUCUCCUGUUACGGUGCCCGCUACCUCACCUUCACAACGUUUAGGGCAACGUGCAAUGAAGUAUUUGGACGCAUGGUUAUUAGUUUUAUAUUUAGCUCCCUGUAGACUGUGGUCCCCAUGGGGCAGGACCCCUGAGUCCCGGGCCCCAGCAGAUCCCAGUAAGCACUUGUGCAGCAUCAAAGGCAGGACGCAGCAAGAGAGAGACCGGGGGGCUUCUGGGGUUCCAGGGCUGAGGGUGCCACGCCGUUCAGCCCGGGCAGGGGGACAAGGAGAGGGGAGCUUCCAGGGUCCGCAGCCAGCCCCACGGCCGUGUCCAUGAGGACCCGCCCUGAUGCAUGCCUCACCGCGUCUUAAAGCACAGUCUCUGGGGUUCAUGCCCCACACACAGCCCCGUGCAGGUGAGGGCCUGGGCCCACCCCUUUCUCUUGGUGCCUUUUCCCACCGCGGGCCUAGAGAAGCAUCCCCGAGGAGAAACGUGAUGAGGAGCCACGGACUGUCCUCCUGGGCCUCAAGGAACUGGGUGUGUGGCAGUGUCUUCAGCUGCAGAGGUUGUUUGUCGUCUGGGCGGGGACGUGGCACUCGGUGCUAAGGAGGGAAAGCCGGGGCUCGUGGGUGUGCGGCGCUGGCGGCCAGGGCAGCCGGGGUCUCAGGCCGCUUCUCCACCUCCCGCUCUGCCCAGCUCUGCCCCGCUCUCCUCCCUCACAUCACUUCCUCUCCCUAACUUCCGUGGCCCCCCGCUGCGCUCUGGUCAAAGUCCAGACCUGGUCACGACACGCCUCCUCCAACCUCAACGCAGGCACCGGGAGCCCGGACGUAAGGCCCGCAAACGGGCGCUGCGGGUGCGGGAAGGUCUGUCUGGCGCCUGCGAUUCCUCAGUGCCGUGUCCACAUUUCCAGGGCGUUUUCACGGCGUUGCCCUUUGGUGACAGCGGCUGUGUUUGGGCCCCAGGACAGAGCUGGGCCGAUGCCCCCUCCUUGUCCCAGCACGUCCCACCCACGUCCGUCAGUUCUGACCCCCAACAUACAGAUGAGGGUGCCGUGGCCUAGGGCGCGGAUGGCGCUCCGUCUGACCCCAGAGGCCGAGCCCUAAAUUACUGAGGACCACCACCUUCCCCAAACGCCCCGCCGGAAGAUCAAACCAGACGCCCCUGACGCCGCGGCGACUGGUCUGGAGCCUCACUGUGACGGUGGGGCCAGUGUUUGAGAUGCCCCCUCCCUCCUUCCUUCCUUUCCUCAUCAAUGACACAAAUGUAAAAGCCCAUGAAGGCAAAGCCUCGUGCUGUGAGGGACACUGGGAGAGUCUUCCAGAAACCAGGAGCCUCCAGGGUUAUUUCCAGUUUGUGUGGGUGGAAGUGUGGGUGUGACAUUCCUAGUAGAGUGAGAAAUGAAGCCCCUCAACAGAUUUUUAACAGUUACGACCCGUUUUAAAUUUUUGCAUUUAGCAAAUUAAUGCUUUUAUAUAUAAUUAUGACAUUCACAAGAUAAUUGUAUGAUUUAGAAAUGUAUCAAUUCCUACUAUUUUAUUGGCAGGGUGGUCUGAUAAUGAGACACAUGUUUAAAAAUGUAUGUACCUUUGUAGAAACCCAGAGAAGAAAAAUGUCACCUCUCAACCGUGUUACUGUAUUUUUGUGAUAAUUGGUGAGACAACAUUGGGAGAUAACACUGAAAAUCAAAAUCUGAGUGUCUUCACUUGGCUCAGGCCCAGGCUAAAGGGCACUGCUGCCCCCAGCCCACUCCCACCCCUGGAGAGGCCCUGGGUCGGAGGGGUGGGUGGUCCCCGCCUGGGAGGAGCAGAGUCCAGCAGGUUUACGCGGCUCCCCGCACAGCGCCCGGGCUCUCCCGCCCCCCAGCUGAGUGUCAGGUGUGGCAGGCACAGACCCCGCCCCAGGCAUGGCCUCUGCCCACCGUGGGUGCAUGAUGGGUCCAAAGGGAAUGUGUGUUUUGGGGAGGUGGGCCUGAGAGCCUGGUGGGGUGGGGAGGGCAGCCGGCUGCACAGAGACAGUGAAGCACCACCAGCGGGCAGGAGACCACGGAGCCGGGGAAUGCGUGCUGGGGUCGAGGUUCCCUCACGCACUGCUGAGCGUGCGGCUUUCCUCUCGUCUGCUUGCAAAGCACCUCCAGUUGGGAAAGAGAUUCAAGCCUCUCUGCAGUUCAGUCAGCAAAACAGGAACAUUGCACAGGCUUUGUGGGAGGAUUUACGGAACCAAUCGCAUGUCUCUAGUGAAUCUGAAACGGCCCGAAUGGUGCAGAAUCUGAGACGAGUUCUGCGUAUCCCGUGAUACAGCUUCUGUGUGCACAGGGCUGGGGCACUGGCAGCCUGCAUAGGGCUCGUGAUCAUCCGCUUCAAACAUGCCUGAGAGGACAACAGACCUGCCUGCAGUGGUCUCUGGGCCAUCCCUGAGCCAACACAAACAAUCCACCUCGCCUAUCCGUCCGCACGUCCACUACUCAUCCGUCUACCCAGCCGUGGGGCCAUCUAGGCUUCUGUACGUCCACCCACCCAUCCAUGUGUCCGUCAAUCCGUCCAACACAGACUUACAGAGCACGUUCCACGAGCAGAUCUGGCUGCUGAGGGCACAGAGAGCUCCUCUGCCCUCAGAGCUCACAUCCCAGAGCAGGGAGGACGCAGGCCAGUCUGCUCUGACGGGGCCGUGCUGGGCACCACAGAUCUCCGCGGAGGGAGAUCGGGAGAGCCCUUCUGGUUCAGAUGGGGCAGCCAGGAUGUGACUUGAAGGACAACCAGCCCCUCCAGGUGAUUGGCAGGCUCAGAAGUAAGAGAACACAGCCGCCGCUUGGCUGCCGCUGCCCUCUCCCCCCACCUUCCCUCCCUGCUGCCCGGACUCCCUCCCUUCCCACAACCUUCUCCAAAGGUGGAGGCACAGGCUCCACGCGCUGGUCGUGGCUGCAGGCAGAAUGACGUGGUUUAGCCCAGGGUGCUCGUUAGGAAGCUUUGAGUCUAGCCCCUGUGCUGGCAUUCCCCAUGAGCUGCUGUGUGCAAACUCGAGCAAAGAGCCCUGCACGUGUAGAGGACACGGCUGGGGCAGGACCCGCUGGGGCCACGAGGCAGACGCUCGGAGUGACGCCGCCCGCAUCCACCUCCGCCUGCGGGUUCCCUCGGGGCAGAGCAGCUGCGCGGAUGGAGAGCAGGUGUCUCUGAAACCGGCAGUGCUGGCGGCGGGGCCUCCAGUGGCACCUGCAGGAGGAGCCCCCAUGGACGGCUGUGCUUCUCUUCCCUUUGUUUUUCGCAAAGUAACACUCACAGAGGUCAAUUGCACAAGACUGUCCUUUUGUAGAUCAAAGCAGCUGAAUAUUGACAAUUUAACGUGGUUCGCUGAGCACGAAAGUCUAGGGCUUUUACCAGGAGCUCCCGGUAGAAGAAUCACUUUGCCUCAGAUACUUCGACCCUUGAACGAACCAGUGUCUGAUCAGAUGGGCACUUUUCUUCCCACCUUGCGGACAGGGAAACAGAUGCUCAAGCCACACGGCCCACAUGCGGAGAGACAGACCGAGGUUUCCUGACUCCGGACGUGAGACACCUGGCCUUCACUCUGGCAGAUGAGCAGCCCCUGGCUCCGCCGGCCCCAGCUGGCCUGCUGACCUGGGCGUCCAGGCUCUAUGGCCAGCCCAGCCUCGGGCAGGGGCACCUGGGGGCAGCUCACCUUGCCGCUGCUCCGACCCGACCACGGGAACUGGGCGUCACGCUGGCCUCGCGCUCCUGGCUGGGCACCCCCUCGCCCAGCGACACGUCUGCGUUCUGCUGAACUCCACUCCUGAACUGGGGUGCGCUGCCCCACAGGCUGACUCUGGGACUUGCUGGCCCCGGGCAUUUCCUGCCCUGAGCCGCGAGUCUGUCCUCCUGGGUGGAGGGGGGUCCCUUGCCAGGACGAGCCCCUCCUGGGGGUGUCGCCUGUGCCUCAGUGAGUAGGGCUGGGCGGUGCUUCCUGCCAGUCCUCUGCCCCCAGACUCUCCCUCUUCUCACACAGGCUCCAUGGCAGCUGUUGGGCGGACGUGGGCAUCUCUCCAGCUGGUCCUCACUUGAGUUCCACCGUCUUGAGCGGGCAACCUUCACAGACUCUUCCUGCGCUGCACGGACCAAGAAAGCACCAAACGCAGAGGCUAUGGAGACCAGGAGCGUUUUUAGGGGCUGCGUGGUGGGUCUGGGUGAACAGGAAGGGAGGAGGGGCCAGGAGGCAGCCCUCAGCGAAGGGUGCGAGGAAGCCCGCAGCAGCCUGGACAGGGCGCAGGGCCCGCACACCGCCCAGGCUCACGGAGGUGACUGGUGAGGCUGGCCUCCCCGCGGACAGUGCCGACCGUGAGUGAAAGCCCCCCUGACGGCCUUUGAGACCCGGCUUCGUCCGUGCGGGUGGACCAGACUGUCCUGAGGACGGCAGGUGGCCCGCAGUAGCCAGCAGGGCCGUGGCCCGCGGUCCCCGCUCACCGCCCCCCGGCCCAUCACACAGCAGGCAAGAUGCACACGUGCUCAAGCUCCAGAGCACGGUCCUCGCAAGAUGCACAUGUAUGUAUGUUCACGCGCACACGUGGGCACAUGAACACAGGCGCCCAGCGCUCACACAGGCACGCAUAUGCACACACACACACACCACUGCCGCCGCGGACACCUGAGGGUGGGGCCUCCCUGAAGCCACGUGUAAACCCCUAAGCGGAGUGGCCUGUGCCCCGUGGGGCAGCGACGGGCCUGCAGCCCCUCCCGGAACCCCUCAGGUCUGAUCCCAGGCUCCCUGGGGGCAGCUCCUGGGUUGUAGGCCUAGGUGUCAGUGGACGGCUGGCUUCCUGCCUCUCCUUGGCUGAAGGGGACCCUUAGGAGGCCUAAUAAGCCACCAGAGCCACGCCUCCUGAUGGGGCUGGGGUGGGGUGGACCCCCGCCCCAGACGCACGAGCUCCGGCCCGUGCCCCACUCCCCCCUCCCAGGAGGCCUGCACUCCUCUCGGCCAGGGCAGCCCCAGCACCUCGCCCCUUGCAGCCAGGAGUCAGGGCCAGAGCAGGGCCUCAUGCACCAGACCCCUGCCCUCCUCUGACGCUUAAUUUUCGGGAACUUGCUUGUUUUUUAAUGUGGCAACAGCCUCCAGUCCUGCACCCUGGACGCCCAGUAAAUAUUUACAGAGCAGCUGAGAGGCACUCGCCUGGGUGCAGCUGGCCUGCUGGAAGUGGAUGGGGGGGAGGGGGGCAGCGCAGCAGCGAGGACGCCCUUCCAAAGGGCAGGGCUGGACCCCAAGGCUCUGCACGGAGGGCGUUGGGUGCCCUGCUUGUUCUCUGCAAACGAAACAUCUCAGCCAAACAGAAAGCAAUCCCCUUCCUCAGUCCCCGUCCGUGAAGGUGAGGUUCCCGCAGCCCCGUGGGCUCCCGCCACCUCCUUGUUCACUGUCCCGCUUCUGAACAUACUUCGCUUUCACCCCGUUAACUAAGUCGGCCCCUCCCCUCCCCCACCGCGGGACCGGCAGUCCAACAACAGGUCUGAAGGUCUGCAUCCUUGUCCAGAGGGGCAGGUGCCACCUCCACACGGUGCCCUGAGCCACGGCGGCCCCAAGCGCAUCACCCAGAGUGAGAGGAAUAAGACCCUGGUCCCCUUGCGGCCAAGCUCCAGGGACGCCCCUGGGGUCCCUCCAUGAAGCUCUGUGUGUAGAAGUGUGCUUUUGGGGUGCGCGGUACUGACAUGUGCGCACAGAACCGCUCAGCCCAAAGCGGUGAGUCCAAAGGCAGAGAGCGCCGACCAUCGUGGAGGGCGAUGCCGACCCGUGUCACCGGGGUGUCCUGGAGGAAGGGCGGAAACAGCCGCCUGCGAGCUGGGCGUCCUCUGGGGGCCACACCCAGCAGCCGGGACCCGAGGGGGACAGAGGAGGGCAUCCAGGGCUCAUCUGCACUGUGGCGUGUGGCUCCGGGAGUCCAGCGCUUGCGGGAGACCUGACAUUUGCGGAAGCAGAAGAACCAGUUUGUGCUGAUGGCAGCUGCUUCUGUGGGGAGGAAGUGGCAGAACUGGGACCAGAUUCGCAGGCGGGGCUUUUGGGUCAGAGGUCCCAGAGGAGCGAGUGGCCGCCCCUGCCCUGGAGAACACAGGCAAGGGUCCAGCGCCCACAGGCCUGCAGCCAUCAGGGAGGAAGCAUCUUGCCCACUUGGUGGUUGGAGGAGGAGGGACACCCUCCCACACCCAGGGGACCAGAAGCGAGAGUGACCGUGGGGCGCUUGAGGAUCUGGACCCAAGCCCCGCCCUCUGCCCUGCACACCAGGCCUGGGGCCCGAGAGGCACCCGUGCCCACCUGGGUCAGGGGAGAAACAGGCAGGACCAGCAGGGCGGAGGCUCAGCCCAUUUCCAGGCCUGCCCUUGAGCGUCCAGGAAAAGGGGAAAGAAAAGGAAACGUCUCUCCUGUUGACUCCCUCCCUUUAGAAAGCCCCAUGCUCUGACAACUGAGGCCCGACCGUCACCCCGUCACCCCAGCCGAUGGCUUCUCCCUGCUCCCAGCGGUCUCCUCAGGGCCAGGCCUUGGGCUGGGGCGGCUCCCGGGCAGGAGCCUCGUCCCCAGCGGGGCAGCAGGCGACUUCUGUACGUCUCCUGGGCCCCACCCUCUCCUGUCCUGCAUCCUCCAACUUCAACGCCUGCUCUGACCUCCCCCAGCUCCCCGCUGGCGCUCCCUGAGGCACCUCACUGCAUCCUCCUCAUUAUCUCCUGGACACACCUGUCUUCCCUCUCCCCACCUGCCCCCGGCACCAAGGUGUCCCGAGGCCCCGACCCCUGGGGGUGCCACUCAGUCCCUCUUCACAGGUCACCAGUGACAGCUCCCAGAUGCGCCCAGGCACUUAGCUCUGCCUGCUGGCAACCUGACCCACCUCCCCCGAGACCCUCACAACCUGGACAAACUGGCCCCGAUUUCCCUCCUGGCCCUCUGCCCGAGCAGCUUGGCACCUGGAGUGACUGUCCUCCAGCCCUGCCCUUACCCCGCCGGUCCCUGCCUGGCGCUGGGUACUCUCUGUCCCAACGGUGACAGCGCGAUCGGGACCCAGCUCCCACCGGCCGCACUCCGGUCCCUGCUGUCCUGAGGUCCCCACGUGGUUGAAGCGGCAGAUGGAGUCGCCCCGUAACCAUUUAACCGAAUGCAAGAUCUUAUUAAUUUUAGGCAACUCUAACUGGUACCAAAUUCUUCCUCCUGCCCCACCUCCCCCAAACAGGCCUCCAUUGACCUUCCCACCUCUCCCAUGGAGUUUGGAAACCGAUCCCCCCCUCUCCCGCCCCCGGGCCUCACCCAGAGCCUGAGCUGUCUGCAGCCAGCCCCGUGGGCGCCCCUGCUCGCCUCCUUCUCUGAGUCUUGGCCUCCGGCUGGUCGGGUGUGAGGCCCGCAGCCUCCACGUGCAAAUGGGCAGAGCUUCUGUGCUCGGCACCCAGGGGCCGUCCCCGUGCGAGGGGAGCACCCCGCGUGUGCCUGACCCACACCCCCAGUACCGAGGGCAGCCACGGGCUCGCAUCACCAGGUGGUCUGGGUCAGGCUCCGCAGCCGCGUUCACAGAGCAUCCGUGUGGGCUGUUCUGAAAGCUUCUGGGGGUCCUGGCUGGUGGCUUCCAUGCAGGACACCCUCACUAGAGAAUGCUGGACAACUGGGAGAGGAGACUGCAGCCCGGCGAGGCAGAUGGCAUCACAGGGCAGGGCAGGAGUGGGAAGUGCCUUCUAGAAAGCUCUAGAGCGUGCAGUGCCCUCCUAGUGCUGGGCAGUGGGCCUCAGACCUCCCUCUCUGGGCGCUGACUGCAGAGGCCCUGCGUUUGGCAAGGGUGGCCGGCUGGCACCCUGUCCCAGCGGAGGCCUCUCCACGGCCCUGGGCCUCUCGGCUUCUCCGUGAGCUGUGGAGUCUGUGCAGCUCCAUCUCCCAGGCCGGAGGGAGGCUCCAGGAGGCUGAACACCGUGCAGGGGACACUAGGGCCAGGUGCUGCCACCAGAGCCCACGGGGCCUGCUCGGACAGGUGGGAAGCCUUGGACGGGUGACGCCAUGUGGCCAGGAUUCCACGUGGAGGGAGCCAGUCCACGGUUCUCUGAGUGCUGGUCCUUUGAGAUCAGUGGUCAUGGACAAAUCCAGCCCCCGCCCCCCUGCCUGGUUUUGCAGAUCCUGGGAGCAAAGAAUGAUUCUCACAUUUUCCAACAACAGAGGAAGAAACAAAAGAAGAAUUUAUUUUGUGACACACGAAAAUUAUAUGAAAUUCAAAUUUCACAGUCAUAAAUGAAGCUGGAACACAGCCAGGCCCACCCAUUACUGAUGGGCGCGGUGCUUCAUGCCACAGCUGCAGGGCUGUCAUGAGGAGCGGGCCUGGGUCCCCACCACCCACAGGCAGACCUCUCAUUGUGCACCUCGCAGAUAUUCUGUUUCUACAGAUUGAAGGUCGGGGGCAAGCAUCGGGCAAGUCUAUUGGCGCCAUUUUUCCAACGGCACUUGCUCACUUGGAGUCUGUGUCGCAUUUCGGUAACAUGCAACAUUUAAACUUUUUCAUUACUGUUGUAUGUGUUAUGAUGAUCUGUGAAUCAUAACACUGAAGGCUCAGUUGAUGGUUAGUGAAUUCUAGAAUAAUUUUUUCUCUUUUGCGGUACACGGGCCUCUCACUGCUGUGGCCUCUCCCGUUGCGGAGCACAGGCUCCGGUCGUGCAGGCUCAGCGGCC